AGCUUAAAAACUACUGAACCAAACAUAUAAAAUUGGAACUAUACAAAGAAGAUUAGUUUGGACCACGAGCGUAGAUGAUAUGAAAAUUUGUGAAGUGUUCCAUAUUUUU
ensembl:snRNA U6 U6 spliceosomal RNA